AACUCUGGUUUUUCCUCAAAACCCCUAAAACUUUUGCCUUUUACUAAAAAUUUUUUCCCGGGGGGGGAACAACCAAUGAGUCUACUCAAUUUUUAAGGGGCCCAUUCGGUGGGUUC